rnacentral:rRNA from 1 species
UACGUAGGGUGCAAGCGUUAAUCGGAAUUACUGGGCGUAAAGCGUGCGCAGGCGGUUUUGUAAGUCUGUCGUGAAAUCCCCCGGGCUCAACCUGGGAAUUGCGAUGGAGACUGCAAGGCUAGAAUCUGGCAGAGGGGGGUAGAAUUCCACGUGUGAGCAGUGAAAUGCGUAGAGAUGUGGAGGAACACCGAUGGCGAAGGCAGCCCCCUGGGUCAAGAUUGACGCUCAUGCACGAAAGCGUGGGGAGCA